UGCCAGGUGAACAAAACCACACCUCAUAUGCUGAUGACUCAAAGAGGUUCUAUCUGACCAGGCCAAGAAAGACAUCAGGUGACUCCCCAGUUUUAAGAUUUAUCUGAAUUGGUUCUACAACACUGUUGGUAGAGCUUCCCUUACUUCUUCCCAUAAUUUGCCUAAUGGUAGAAGAUGCACAAAUGUAAUUACAUUUACAUUUUAUUACAAAGUCAGUGAGUCACUGCCACAGGAUGACUCUAACCUGAGAUUACUGAAAUUCCCCCACAUAAGUGUGGUGCAUUAUUCUUGACAGACAAUGAAGAUUUGAACUCUUGAGAUGUAUGGCACUACUUAAACCCAAUAUAAAACACUGAAACCAAACAAAAGAAGUGAAAAUAUCAAGGAUGUCCAAGAUAAUUCAGUAGAACUUUGAAAAUACCUUCCCAUCUUCUAUAUGAAUUCAAAUCAUACAUCUUCCUGUUUUGUUUUGUUUUUUUCUAUGUCUCACUUUAAAUUACAUUCUCUAAACAACGUUUUGGGUGUUGGUUCCGCUUGCUUUAAUAUAUGCUAUUGGGAUCCAGUGAAGUAAAGACAGAUGCCACCCUUGGGGUGACUUCUUCCCACUGUUCCCAGAUCUUGCUACAUUGAAACAAGCCUAAACAGGAAGCCCACAUUGAGAGAAGAAUCAAGAAGAGCCUGCAAGUUCACCAUUUUACCAAUAAGAAGGAUAUCAUUUAUGAUGAAAGAGUGAAAACAUCAAUCAUAUUUAAUUGGCCAAAAGAUACCUAGGAUGAAAAACAUACUGGAGUACAACCAGCCUUGAACAGAUGUGGUCAAGAAAAGAGGGUGAAUGAGUUUCUAAAGAAAACUAAAUUAUGACUGUAACAUGGGUGUUUCUAGACAGAUUUUUCAUCUUCACCUCCAAACUCACAGUACCCCAAAAAUCAAUAGUUUACAGCCUCUGCCUACCAAAGUCUUCUUUGUCGAGUUUCCCAUCUCUGGACUUCCCAUACAGGCAAGGGGUAAUCAGUUUUUGAUCAUGUGUAAUACCCAGCAUUUUCAUUAAGCUGGCAAAGAUGACCUUACCCCAUCAUUAAACUUCUCAGUGGAAGGAGCAGCUAUGAUUAUUUUAAAGCAUAAAUUUGGCCACUUAACAUAUGAAAAUGAUGUCUUUUCCCACCAAAAUCUUCAAGGAAAAAUUUCCUCAUGAUGGAGGGACAUCUAUAAUUUGCAAAGACAAAUGGCUACAGAUGAAGCGCUUCAUGUAUCACUAGAGCCCUGAGCUAGGGUGAUGGCUGUUACUUCCUCUGGCUGGUUUGCACCAUCUUUCCUCCGCUGCAGUGGCGCACUGUGAGCACGUGACACAGCGCUCUCCAGAGGAUCUGACAGAAAAGGCAAAAAUGUUGCACUCCCCCAACCAACUGGCAAAAAUUUCAAGGAGCUUGAAGUGUUCCGGUCUAGUCAGACUCCUUAAUUCUUGUGUUUCCAAGUAUGUUUCCAACGAGCCACAAAGAAAUGUAAAAAACUCUCAUAAUCAAAUGCAAUUUUGAUUUUGCAUCACAAAAUCAAAAUUCUGGGAUUUGUGUGAAGUGUGCCAUG